rnacentral:tRNA from 32 species
GGAGGCUUAGCGAAGUGGCCAAACGCAGCAGACUGUAAAUCUGUUCUCGUACGAGUUCGGUGGUUCGAAUCCAUCAGCCUCCACCA